ensembl:lncRNA
CAGUUAAGGCUCUUCUGUGUUUGUCGCCUGUGUUGGCAGCACCAAAUUUCGAGAAACCUUUUAAAUUACAGGUAGAUGCCAGUCAAAUCGGUGCUGGGGCUGUGCUUCUCCAGGAAAAUGAUGACCAAGUUGAGUGUCCAGUCAGUUUCUUCUCCCGGAAAUUUAAUAAGUAUCAGCAGAACUAUUCUGUGAUUGAAAAGGAGGCUUUAGGUCUCAUUUGGGCUCUACAGCACUUCGAGGUCUAUGUUGGUUCCGGUUUGACCCCUUUAACUGUUUUCACUGACCACAACCCCCUCAUUUUUUUGAAGUCCUUGCAAAAUCCCAACCAGCGUUUGAUGCGUUGGGCUUUGUUCCUGCAACCGUUCAACCUUGAUAUUAGACAUAUUAGUGGCAAGGAUAAUAUCAUUGCUGACGCUCUGUCCCGUGCUCCUGUAACCUAGUUGGUAUGUUCUUUCUGUUGACCCCUACGGGUUGUCUGCGCCUCUUUUCUCUUAAUUUACUCCCUAGGUACCAGGGCUGCAGAGUUUGAGGUAUGGACAGUCAGGCGGGGGACACAGGGUGACUGUUAGGAGCCAGGACGGGUAUUCUUUUUGUUGUAUUUUGAGGGAACUGUUUGGAUUGUUUUCAAUGUGGGCCAAAUUUUGGGGCUGAGGGUUGGACCCUCAUCUUAAGGAGGGGGGUGUCACGGCUCCUCCUCGGCCUUGCAGGGGCGGUUCCUCCUGCAGGCAGAGGAGGGUCUUUAGCGAUUGGAGCCACCUGGGCUCUAGGUAUAAGAAGGCCUCUAACCACUUCUCUCGCGCUCUCUGCUCCUCCAGGUAUGAUCCUGUUUUGUUGGUUCCUUUGAAGGUUUUACGUUGUUCACACUCAGUCAUGUUUACACAUACAGAUUCACUCAACCAUGCACCUUACAUACACCUUACACUAUGACAUUCGCACACCUCAUUCCUUUUCUUUGUUUAAAGUUACUAGUUUUUGAUUUAUAAUAAACUCUUCUUUUGAUUGGCCUAUACUUGGUGUUUGUGUCCCCUCAUUCUUGCCACAGGCUAUGAGCCGGCCUGUGACACUACCUAUGAAGCCUAUUAAUAUAAUUUCUUUGACCGUUUUGCCUUUUAAAAACAGAGCUCAGUUCUCGGCGUCUUUUCUAAUGGGAUUUUUUCAUUUGAUUCAUUCAUCUCUGAUUCUCCUCCAGCUUUUAAUUGGUUCCUGGAAAAAAAAGAAACGGCGAGAACAUCUUGCCUCGUGUCAUCACUAACCGUGUGACAUUGAGAUGAACAUUUAGAAUUACUUUUCUGCAAUUUUAAUGGGGUGGCUGUUUUCUAAAUUCUCCGGCGGCACACGCUUGACAUUCUGCGUCAUACCGUCAUCCCCUCAGUGGGAUAAAACACAGUCUCACAGUAUCCACGCAUUUUAAAUCGAUUUAUCUGUCUUUAGCUGAACAAAUAAGGGCCCGCUGUCGCACAGUCAACUUCCUGCGGGACGCUGCGGCCGACAAAGUGCGCGCUCCCCGAAUACCAACUGACUGACAUCGUCAUCCUGGCACAUAUUUGUCUGACAUUUCGCCCCGGGUCUCCUACAGAUCCUGCGUAUAGCCACUCUUGAUUUUCUCCUCACCCUGGGGUCACAACUGAUCAGAUUGCCUGUCUGACAUUUGCCGUGGACAGAGUAGCUGAUACGUGACCUUCUCCACCGACGGGUCCCUUCUGGCUUUGAACCGUUGCCCAGCAAUCAGCGCCCCGGCUAGAAUUGAACUCUUAAAUAUCCCGCGCCAUGUUGACGGCGGCAAGAUUUUAUGAGACUUAUAAAACAUGCAGGGGUGUGAAAUUGAUCGUCUCAUCUGAGCGGGAAGGCGAGUGGUGUAUGGAUAGCACACCUGGACACGGGGAGGCGUCAGUGGAAGUGAAUUAUUGAUUGGGAGAGACGUUUGAAGCUCCGCCUCGGGGACCUACGGCGAUGAAUGUUUUCGGGUUAAAGGCAUUCAUGAACUGCUCUCACGUUGAUGCUGACUCGGCUUGUUAUCUCGUGGCUGUUAAACCAGGUGCCAAAAUGAAGAAGAAGAAAACCACGUCUGUGAACCACUGAAGGGGAUUCUCCAAUUAUUCAACAUGUUCUCAUGAUUGCGGCCAGAGAAAUAUAUCUUUUGAUUUUCCGGGCUUGUUAGGCUUGACGUUGAGACCACAUGGGGGUGGGACCCAGCUGCCUCUCACACGUAACUGUCCGUCACGUAAGUGUUUUCUGGGUUGAUUACUGGUCCAACGCGGCACCACCAACAGCAACAAGGCCCCCAGCAACGCAUCCACCCGCACUGGCUGACCUUGGCCGGGAUCUCUGGGUGCACUUCAGCGAGCAUUGACGCCUCUCGCUGGGGCAGCUGCUGCGCCUCCUGCAGGACGAAUCCGCCCGCUGGCUCCAACAAAAAGGGACACGCAGAUGUUGCUUUAUUUUCACCUUAACCAUUAAACUUUCCACUUUUUGACCAAGCGGCUGGGUGGUUGGGUGGAGGGUCAACCUUUGCAGUAAGCAACAGCCUCCCAAAUAUUGAUUACAUGCUUCCAUCUGUUUUCAGGUUCAGAUUCUAUAAACGAGCACGCUGGUUAGUUUAAGUCAAAACAUGUAAAUUUGAGUAGAAACUGAAUUCCAUUCACAAUCAACUCAUAGUGUCUGGAGCAUUUAUUUACUUGGCACUUGGCCUUUAUUAUAAAUAAAUACAAACACAUACAUAGUUUAUUUGGCAUUAUUACUAUAACGGCAUGAAACUGUUUACAUGGUCUAAUUAUACUCAUUACGAGCCUGCGAUUAUUAUUCACAUUAAAAGUGUUCCAAGGGCAUUUUUGACAGGCAUUUAAUACAGUGGUCCAAUUUGUAUGUACGGGAAUAGUUGUAGUUAAAGAAUGCAGUGUCAUUGUGGUGAAAUACUAUUACUAUAGAGUGGAGAAUGUUCACUAUUCCAAGCUUUUAACCUGGCCUGUGUUUGUUCUUGCUCGCUACGUGUGAGCUUGUUCUGCGAAUACCAGCUUUCAUUUGUAAAUCCACAUCAAACAGUAUGUGUGCAGUUUGUAAAGGUACUGCAUUUGCUGUUUGGUCAGUUUGAAUGAAACAUGUUACAUAAUCAGGGAUAUCCACCAUGGCAGAACACACUAAGAAAAGCGUGCUACGUAACAGCUAGACGAUUGCUCGCCACUUGUCUGGUGCGGCACCACAGCGAUCAAGGCCCAAAACAGAAAAGAUGGAAAAACAACCCACAACAAUCAGCACCAAAGGAAAAAAAGGCCGAGGCAGCAUGAAAGCACAAGAACUUCACAAAUCACCUCUCAAGUUGAGAGGAAGCCGGAGCACAGGCUGGUGAGGAAAGAGCACUUCUAAGCUCCGUUUGUGAGCGAUGUGUGGAACCUUGUGUGCAUCUUGGAGACGCAGGGCUGGAGGUGUCCAGCAAGACAAACCUGUGUUGACGUGUGUUGGUUUGCCGUGGGGCUUUAAGAGGGAUAAACACCCAUCAAAAAGUCUUUCUAAUUGGAUUUCGGAUUGGGAUUCAACACCUCUUCGUAAACUUGCCUGUGUGUAGUGAAGCCCUAACGUCGGGCACUCGGGAAGAUUGAAAAAAACCUGAUUGAAACCACGGUUAUGAGAACUCUGCAUGCUCUACCCAUCUUCCCAUCUGAAAAGUGCUCUGAACCUCCCUGCUAAGAAUAUAAGUUGGGCAAAUUUGUUUCCACUUCCCAUGAUAGAGCGACCUCCACAUCCCUGUGGGUAACGCCUGCUGGUUGGGCUGCAGCACCCUGCGACUCACAACAUGGAAAAGGAUUUAGAUAACGGAUAGACGGCUCCGCUAAGGCACUUCUGCUUCACCUUCUCACAGCUUGCCAUUAAUCCCCAACAGACGGAAUAAGGGCUGGGGGGUAUAGAUUGAAUCAUUCUCACAAUAUUAAUGUAUUUGUACAACAUCCGCUAUGGCAAAGGCCCAGAGAAUUACAUCCAUAUGAAUCACACAGAUUCAAGGCGCUGAACAGCGUGCAGCUUCCCCUCCUGCUACCAGUGUUUUCUGUUGCUGCUUUAAUACAUGAUAAAUAUAUCUAUGGAUCACUAAUGAAUCACUAACAGCCUUUGAUACAUUUGCUAUCUUUCCCGGUGAUUUAUUAAUUCCUCCAGUAUUUGUUCAAAUGUGUAAAGGUCACAUGAUCUGUGAUAUCGAGGGUGGGGGGGGUCACGUGAGUUGAAUCCUACUAAAUGUCAUUCUUUUGCAUAACAUCUCCGAAACAAUCAGUUGUCCCCAACACCAGUUCGACGUGGCGGCGAAACACAGGCCCACCGCUCAAACAACACGUCGCUCGCCUCACUCGACACAUCGGAAAGACGCGUCGCGUCUGAGAGCAGACUGAGAGCGGACGCAGGGGACGGGAUGAUUAGCGCGCACGUCGGCCCUCGUCUGUGUUUGAGCUGUGAUUUAGCUCAGUUUCAUCCGCGAGCACGUCCGUGCCUUCGACAUAAGGUGGUCUUUUACAAGAGCACGCAGUCGAUAUGACAUUUGGAUUCCACGUGCCAAGACUUACAGAGUCAAGGCUCUUAGCUGGGUAAGUAUCGCAACGUAUAAGCGAAAGACAAAGGCCAGCAUCCGCUAUCAGGAGGCAGAGCCUAUGAAUCAGAGCUCAUUGGGGUUAUCGGCUCUCACGGAUCGGCGCUGUGGGAACGUUAUGGAAUGAGAAAUCCAAUUUUGUGGCACUGCACUAAUUUCCCUGCAAAGUCAAAGGCGGCACAGGAGCACGCGUGAUCACAUCGUGUUCUCGGAGACCAAACGAGAAACUGUGUGAACAGUCGAAUACGGAAAGCUCCGGUUCUUGCCAAUAAUUAACCGCACUUUCCCAGUGUUUAUACAGUGUAAUAAAUGUAGAACCGCUUUAGCGGCUUCAAACUUUCACCAGAGAGCCGCUUGACUCAACAUCACUACCAAUAUUCAUCAUGGUGUGAUUUCUAAUUCAAAAAUAUACUUUUUGAAAAAGCUACUUGACAACAGGGAUUUUUUUUUCUAAAUUGUAUUUACAGGUUUGCCCCAAAUUCCUGUCAUUUUUGGAAGUUUAACACUAAUAAUUUUUUGUGGCGCAAUAUGGCAGAUUUUUACUGAAGGUGGAUGCUUACGUUUCUACUUAAUUAAUACUGUUUGUUUCUGCAGCUGAUCUCUUCAUUAUUAAGUUCUUUGUGCAUUUUUACUUCUCCCGAUAUGGAAAUGUCAUUUCUGCAGUGUGUCUGACAUAUGAUUUUGAGUAAAGUCUCUGCACUCCCAGAACACGUGUCGGUUAUGAAUUCAGGUGAUGAAUUUGGUUGGAACUGAUCAUCUUUGAGGCAAUGAUGCAGUCUAUGCUUGGCAUGACUCGGUAUUUGUAAAAAGCUUAAAUAUUGUGAUAUAAAAACCAUAUCCAUUAGCAGCUGCUAUGUUAAGUAGGCACAUGCAUGGACUGAGUACAAGACAACCGAGCGCCGUUACAUGUCUCUGCAGCGGUUCUGCAUUUCUAUGCGUUUCUUUGUCGUUGUUCUGUGUGUCUUCCUCGUCCUGCCUCUGUGCUCUGCCCUCUUAAAGUUUUUUACUUUGGAGUGUCAACGGUCUAUCAUUGGCCCCAUUACAGCUCCUCCCGGAGAGUACAUCCCCGCAGUUACGAUGAGAAUAGGUGUCGCCCUAAAACGAGAGCGGUGUGACCGGAGGCGGAGAAGUGGAGCGCGGCGGUGCUUAAGGUUACUGCUUGGUGGGGGGGAGACGAGGCACCUACGUGAAGCCGUGAUGAAUAAAAUGGAAAGGGAAGGAACUGUCUGUGCAAUCCACCAGGAUUAACGACCAGAGCACAACAUGAAGGGAAAUGGUUUAUCUCCAGCCUAACAACAUGAAACUUGUAAAUGCUCCGUAUCGUUAUUCUUUUCCGUAACUCUGCUGCCACAAAGGAAAGGAAGGGAAACCCGCAGAAAACGUUCUCCCCUUGGACUCGACAUUGGCUAUUUGUUUGUGCUGCCUUGUCUUCAUACUUUGUGUCUUUUAUGUUUUCAAGCUGGCAGAUUCACAAUACAGGCGGAGCGUUGUGUUUCAUUCACGAUGCUUUCAAGGCCUCGCCGGCGAGGAGAGGCAGGAUAACAUCAAUUCCACUCAAUUCCCGUGAAAUAGGGACGCUGCUUUCUGCCGCAUUUCUCUGCAAAAAUAGUGAAGGACAACUUUCACUCUACACGAAUAAGGACGGGUGAGGACUCUUUCCUCCCGCUUGACGAUUUGCAAGAAGUCAGCGAUUUGAAACACGGUCACUCAGAUUGAGGAGAGAUUUGGGAGUAAAAUGAAAUGAAUCAUGCUUACGCUUGAUUACUGGUGUUUCUUAUUUGAUCAGGGAUCCACACGGGGGACUUUAGACAGGGGCUGAAUGAUUGAAGUCAGGUGGCAUGAUUCCAUACAGACAGUUUUCUUAGGGAUUGGCUUUGUGUCCAUGUGGGCAUGUGCACGUGUGCACAGGGCGUACAGUUACACCAAAGAAGGUCAGCUGUGGUAGCACAGAUUUGUCUGACUGUUAGAGUGCGUAGAAUUGCCCCCAGUGCCACUGGCUCUCCGUUUUGUCUUUUUAAACAGCCCUAUUGUGGCAAAGACAGUAAGGAAACAGAUGGAUGCAUUUAGCCAGUCGAUCUCCGCCUGCUUAUUGUGCUGAAAUGACUCAUCACAGAGGAAAAAGGCCACGUUGUGGUAUCGGCCCCCGCCUCCUUCCUUCAAAAGUAAAAUUGAACUGAGUGGCUGAGUUGAACACAGCAUUAAAUUCAGCCACUUUACCAACGUCAAUGGGCAGUUUGUAGUAUUGUUUGAGGGAAAAACGUAUUAAAAGAGCUCCUUUUUUCGCACAAUGUAUUUAUGACCAACUAUAUUUAACAAUACACCAUCAUGGUGAGAUAUAUCCAGCUGCUGCAUUGCAGUUUAAAAAGAGUAAAUUCACCACGUCUGAGAUAAACAUCCCUGGGAAUCAAAGAGCAAAAACAAAGUCCUCUUUUUAGGCAUCCAGACAUCCAAGUCACACAGAGAAAAAAGACCAAAACAAAAACAGGCAGAGACACCAAUUUCCCCACUAAAGACCAGAAUGCAGUGAAGCCACAAGAAACACAGGGAACAAGGAAACAUUUUUCCACCACAGACGCUACCUCGGCUCCCUCGCUGUCACCGACACUAAUGCGGAUGUUAUCGCAUCCUCCACCUACAAAUACGACCCAGCAGGAUGCAGCAAACGCAGGCGGACGAGUUCAGACAGACAAGUUGGGAAACACGAGGGAAAAUCACGACUCAACAGCAGCAAUGUACUCUUGAUCUUACCAUUCUUAUCAUUUGGAUUCUAUGAAGACCCAAUUUGACGCUGUGUAUGGCUGGUAGUAUUUUGGAAGCAUCAGCCAUGAAAUGCAAUAGUAUAGUAUGACUGCCUUUCUUUCAUUGCCAUGGAAACAAAGGAAAUAUAUUAUGUCCAUAAAAUGUAAGGGAGAAAAGAGUAAACUACCGUGGUCUAUUUAAAAAAACAAAUGAUUAUGUUGUGUGUGUUCUAUGAUGUGGGGGUGGGAGAAGCUUAAGAGUUCACCUGGUAGAUGAACCUGUUGUGUGUACAGUGUGUAGGUGUGUCUGGUGGCAUGAGGUGAUAGAAUAACCCUCCUCUGACUCCCCCCCAUCCCACGUAACCCGGCUACUGCGAACCCAACGCUGUCCAGAGGCCGUGUUUAGAAUUGUAGCUCCACACGAGGAAAAGUAUACUUACUGAGUACCUGCUUGCACUUGGCGGUUAACUGCAGUUUUACAGUAUUCCUUCAAGGAAAGAAGAGAAAAGAGCUGCGCUGAAGGGUUUUCUCGUGAAGAAUAUAUUCUGCUCUUUCCCGAACACUUUCUUCCUACAGAUGGCGUCGCAAAAAGUCUAUUAAAACCAUUUUCACGAGAUGGUAAAUAUGGCUCCGUACUGUGUCAGUUGUGUGUCUCCUCUGGAAGGCAGAAGAACCUUCACAUUAAUGUGUCCAGCGGGAGCGAGUAAAAGCCGUCUCUUGGGUGAAUGACCUGGAUGUCAAUGUGUUACUUUUCCCCCUUAGUGAGAAAUAACAAUGUAAAGAUAUAAUUUUGUGGACACUUGUUUCCUUUAUUCAUGCGGCAUUAAUGUUGGCAUUUAGCCACACUCAACCCCUCCUUCUUCUCCACGCUUAUAAAUUUCAAUGUCGUUUCCCUCUGAAAGACUUAAUACUAUUUUCACCUGACUCACCGGUUUUUCCUUUUAAUGUCUCAUCACAAACCAAAACGUGUGAUAUUCCCACCCGGACUCCACGACCUUGCAGGGGGGAAAUGAUGAUGGUGUUUUUGGUUUGGUUUGUGCUUUUGAGAAAGAGAGGAGCCAACAUUUAAACCAGCGGAUGAAAGUACCCUUUAAAUCAUCAGUAAUCUGGCCGGGCGGGUGAAGUAAAAAAUAAUUAAUGUCACUCUAACCUGCCCACCAUCUCUCUUUUUUUUAACUUUCUGGAACAUUUAGGAUAGUGAAACUGAAACUGUCAUUUUUCUAGCUUCAGCAUUAAUGGGUUUUAUUUCCAGAAAGUAGCUGAAAUUUAAACAUCUUAUUAUCACUGUUGUGGUGUUUCGAUACUCAAAAAGGUACCGCUGGGCAGGAACAAGCCAGUACAAAAGGGAACCAUAGAUGUUUUAUUCAUUACCAUUAUACAUAAAUGAACCAGCAUCGUAUCGUAUUUGUGGCAUUGUAUCAUGAUAUUUAUGGCAGGUAUUGUGUCAAAGUCAUAACGUUGGUAUUGUGACAACCCCAUUAUCAUCACUGAGGCCUGAUUCACCGAGUGGCAACUACGAACCACAAAUUAAAUAAGUCCUGGUCCAAAAAUCUGAUGCAAAGCUGCACAUCAAGGCAGAAACAUUCACAUUUAUUUCACCUCCACACACACUUUCUCAUUUCCUCUCUCGCAUCCCAACAAAAGCUGGCCUCUGUGUGAAGCGCUGCAUAUGCCGCAGACGAUGUGUCACAGAAAGAGAAAAGACAAAAAGGGUCCUCGGAUACGACGGACAGUCACGGUGCUCGGAUGACUUGAUGUAUGCAAAAUAAUUACCGGGCUGACAUUCUGAGAAGAAGAGGCGCCGGUAGAGGAAUAUCAGCCUCUCUGAUGUACUUGUGAUUGUUCAUUUCCUGUUAGCUCAUGCACCACCUGCGCCGAAUGCGUCUGGAUGCGGGGGUGGGAGAGGUUUGGGGGGGGGGGGGGGUUGUUGUUGACGGGCCCAGUCACAAAAUCAAAGCAUGUGUUGCUGAGACGGAGCCCGUCAAAGAGCGGCACAUCACUUUUCUAAUGAUCGGUUGUCGCCGGUCUCCCACCGUUUUCCAGCCUUAGUAAAUGUGACACUUUGCGAGGCAAUCUGCGGCGGGCGACGGAGGUCGCGCUCGUCACGCCGCCCCCAUCGGCCUGGGCAAGGGCAACAAGGGGGAGUGUAACAGCCCCACGGGAGCACAGAGGGAAAUAUAGAAGCACCAAUAGCUUUAACAGACCCCCCCAAUCCUUUUUUACUGCCGACGACCCUGAUUGCCCAUCACUGAUGAUCAAUAUCGACAGAUUGAUCGCAAUAUCUCCAAUAAUAUAAUAAUAUAUACCGCUCUGAAGUCAAAGUAAACCAUCUUUUCACUUGUCAUAGUCAUCUAGAUGGUUCGAUUGUACUUUUAUGGAUAAUUAAAUCUUGCUAUUAGUAGUUUUAGUGAUGCUUUAUAAGAUCUGUAGAUCCAAACGUAAACAGCUCAUGAUACCCUCUCAAAUAUCUUCCCUGCUAUAAAACAUCUUACAACGACUGGAUUUAUUCAAGUUCUUCCCCAUAACACAAACACACAAACACAUGCAUUUUUACAGGAUACAUUUUAACACACUGUGGCUCCUCUUUAAACCAGAGGAUCCCCUGACCUGGCCUGAGAUGCACGUGAAGGGUCGAGUCCUGAUGGGCAGCUUACAUGGUAGCACCUGUCAUCAGUGAACCAAUGGGGUGGAACGGCUGGAUGAUGGCAAGUGGUGUUUAAGCGCCUUGUAAACCCCCCCAGCCCCUCUCGCCCUGUUCUGUUACUUGCUGUUUUCUGUUGCCGGAGGCGCCGGUCUUAUCUGUAAAAUGGCGUUUUCCCUCCACUUCUUAAACUGCCUUGUUGUGACUCUCUGUCCUCUCAAAACUCAUUCCUUGUCUCAGUCCUCGCUCGUUAGCUCCCCCCUUUUAUUCCCUCCUUUGCGGGAGCAUCAGAGAAAUUAUAAAUGAAUGGACUCGCCCAUUAUGCAAAUGGCGGCGUCUCGUGUUUCCAUGGAUAUGGCUCAGCUUAUUCAGCCAUGGCCGCUCAUUGCCGGUUGUGCAGCCCAAUAAUAGAGAUGUUUAAUAAACCCUGAGUUGACAAUUAAGUCAGUGGAGACAUAAUUGCGUUAAUGUCCCUGUGUCCAAUUAAAUUAGUCAACAAACACUUGCAUUACAGCAGAUCAUUUAUUGAAUCAUUAGGAACAGUCAACUUUUAUUUCCCGUGGAAUGCCACUUCAAAAUGAUUGUGUUACUGCGAGUGGUGACAAUAAGCAGCUAUGAGGCGCAGAAUUAUUGUCACGUCUUUCACGAUACUUGAUUUGGAGGGACAGGUUUUCUCAAUCUUAAACUAAUAGUGAACAUCUACGCUCAAAUGCUCCAGACAAGUUGUUGUUUUGUUGUUCUACAUUAGAUCAACAGGUUUGACCUUUGACCUGGAGUUAAUUUCUUUUUGAGUAUUAAAGUAAAAUGAAUCGGUGCGUUUCCUUCCAAUGAAACAUUGAUCCUGCGGCUUUGGGUAUGAGUCGAUACCGAGCACCAACACCAGCCUCAAAGGAAAAAGCUGUGUCCAUAAAAUUGUUCAUUUAAAGCAGUAAAAUUCUAACCUGCAGUGACGGCCUACCGGGAGACACUCUUGUCUCUGGUUGUUUGGGGUACAGUGUUCUAAUAUAAGAGAGGGUUGUGAUGAGGCUCUGCUGUGAUGGUCUCCUGUAUCUCUGAUGUCCUGUGGGUUCUUUGGCUGAAAACUAGUUUUUCAACCUUUUUUAGCGUAGCUCCUCUUUCAACUCUUUUGUCAUUGAGUUCCUGGUUCUGCACUAAUCAAUGUGGUCACAAAAAAAGGAUAAAAUGAUGCGUAAUGUGAAACGCCUCCAUGUGGGAUUGCCAUUGCAACAUGCUGCUGCGGAUAGAUCCCAAGAUAUUUCUGUCUUUGGUUUUGGGUCCUAUGUGUUAAUCAUGAAUGACAUUAGCACGAAUACAUUCAUCAACACUGGAGUUUCAAGCGUGGUAAUUAGGUGCAGCGGACAUUGAGACAAUCCAAACACCGCCGGACCAAACUCGCCCGGAUAGGAGAGGGAGGAGAGCUCAGUUGGGAGCCAAGCUAACUCAGUUAGCUUCUUUGUGCAUCCCUAUGUUGCACAAUCCUUGAAUAUGUCUGUGUUGUGUUUAAUGUUUAUUGUCCUAAAACAUUCUUUAAAAAAUUGCUUUUAUUUUCUUUCAACGAUUUCAUGUUCUUCUCUAUGUGUUCAUGUUGUGUGUCAGAGCCAUAGAGAGUAUCUGCAGAGGGUGCUACACAUAGUGCUGUUCUGCUCUGAGCAGAGUUCUGUAUAUAUUUUUGCAGCUUUAAAAAAGUGCAUUUCAGGAUUUAGCCAAUAUCUUCAUGUCAGGCAAAGAGGAUUGGAUUUUUUAUCCUUUGGGAACACUCUCAAGUACCCAGGCAAUAAAGUCACAUCAUUUUUUCUACCUUUCAUCAUGGUCAUCAUCAGACUUGGUAUAUUUAACUGAAUAACUUUUUCUCUUAUUAUAUUUCUGAGAAACCAUUGAAAUUCAGAUGUUUGGCCCUAGCUCAGAUAAAGUUGUUAUGCUGGCGUUUUGGAAAUUGCAGUGAAGCACAUUUAACUUGUUAUGAAACACUUUAUUGGCUCUAUAUGACUUACAUAAGAAAAGAGACCAUCAGCUGGAUUUAUGUCCUUUUCGAUAUUACUAACCUCAUUCAUUGGGGUCACCUGGUCGGAUGCCUUUGGACUGUGCUCAGGUGGGAGGAGGAGAGCUCUGUGUGUGGCAGCAGGAGCGGAGCUUCACCUCGCUGGGCCCACUGGAGUCAAUGGAAGGCGCAGGAGAUCCAGAACCUGCUGCAGUAAAAUAAGUUUCCUAAAAAGAACCAGACUGGACCACGAAACAGUACCACUGUUAUCCAGGGGGGUCGCCAAAAUCAGCAAUUGAUUAAAGUCACUUGUAGUAGCUUUAAGAUGUAUCUCGUUAGAGCAUUUUAAUAAUGAUGGGUUGUAGCCACAUAUAUAAAGUCAUAUACAGAUAUGAUGCAGUGCAACGGGCCAUAAAUGAUGGCGUCAAACAAUAAGAUAGUUUGAGAAGGACCCUUCCAGACAGAGCCAGCCUCCAGACACGCCACUCCAUCUGAAUCCCGUUUCGUCAAAUGUUGACAUGUAAUUCAUUAUUCAUCUUACGAUGAGAUUUGUCAAAGGCAACUGUAUCCUUUGAGCCACAAAGAUUAGGGAGGGCUUUGACAGGCUUAUUUGUCAUGUGCUGUGUGAUACGUAUCCAGUUGGCUCGGGUUAUGAUUGUUUGUUGCAUUGUAUUUGCCUGCAGGCAUGGUUAGAAAUCCAUCUAAUAACUGCCAAGACUAAUCCCUGAUGUGGGAUCCACAAAGACGAUGGUGCAGACGUGGAGAGGUAUACUACUGCUGAUUUCUACUUGAAGAAGAUGCCGUCUGAGUAUUUGAAGCACUUUGUGUUCACACAGUGAUUUAAUAGAUACACUCUUUUGCCUUUUGGAAAAUAACAUCUGACUUUUUGACUGAAUGAACAUGUGUUUGAAGGCAUUUGUAGGCAGGAAAUUGGUUGAUCAUUGUCAGUUAUGCGGCAUUAGGACAUCUCCAAAGGGCUUAAUUUCCAUCUGUAUUCAUUCAUAUGAUAAACAAACCAAUAACCAACACAUUUGACAACAUCCAGAAUUAACAAGGGAUAAUGAUUUCUUAAUUCUAUGUUUCUUCUGUUAUUCUGUUGUGGUAAAUGUAUUCGGUUUUGUGAUAAUUGUGUUGACAUUUCAUAACAAACGAGCUACACAAAGUGCCUUUUUUGUUGGAAUGGAAAAUUUGGUGCCAACAUACAUGUUGUAUGUGCUCUAUUGCUGCAACAUCAUGGCUGCUGCUUGUUAUUUUAACCAGAUUCAAAUCCCCUAUUCCUCUUUAGGUCUACAGAUGGUGUGAGAAAAAGCCACCGAAAGUGUAAAGAAAGAGGCCAUUCAUUGUGUCUUGGGAUUCAACUUCAUUCUCUGCACCAUCCCUCCGCCUCCAGGUAAAAGGUUGUGGGCUGAAGAUGUGUGAAAGGCUUAAGGUUUUGGGGAAUGCUGUCGUAGGCAGUCAACUUUUCAUUCACACGGAGAGGAAGUUGGUUGAUGGGUUGCUUUGUUUGGCAGUGCUGGGGGCUCUAAAAAAUAUUGCUUUUCGUGAUGUUACAAGUGAUAAUUAGAGAGCGCAAUGGAAAAUAAACAUUGAAAAAAAUCCAUAAAUUUGCUUUCAAGCUGAGCAUCAGCCCCGACGAUGCAUGCAAGCCUCUUCCAAUCAUUAUCUUUUGAGAUGCUUAUUCCUGUGGCCUUUCAAACCAAAGUUGUUGCACACUGGGAAGCUUUAAAUGUCUGUAAUCAACUUCUCAUUGAUUUUGCACUCACAGCCACAGCUAUUGCUUGUGGAACAAAAGACAUUGGUAUGGAAUCAAGGAAGCACGGCAAUAGGAUUGGCCGCCAACGUCCAACCACUGUGAAAAGUGAGGACGUUUGUUGACCCCCCCUCCUUCCACACACACACACACACACACACACACACUCAUGUGUUUACAUGAUGGUCGGACUAUGCUAUCUUUCGGUGGGAGGUGCUAUUAUCCCAAUAUACAUGGCAGUGAAUAAAUCGAAUCAUUGACCGAAAGCAUGUCAUAUCCGAUAGGAUAGGUGGCGCUGUUUUCAUUUCAACUAGUUGUGAUACCGCCAUUUCCGCUUGACCGCUUCACCACUACCAACAACAACCAACAACAAUAACAUCUUUUCCUCCCAUUCAUGAACUUUAGUAUGUUAAACUCCUUCAAUACAUUAAGCAUAAAUUCUGUCUGCUCUCCGGUCCAGAAAUGUGUGGUUGCUCUUGUGUUGUCCAUAGCGUUGUUUGUUUGUUUUCUGCCGGUCAGGCUCCCAGCAGUGACAACUUAUCGUCUCUUUUGACUUCCGGGUCACGACCUGGGAGGGAGGGAGGCGGCGGGAUCUCAAGCAUGCGCAAAGUCCAGUUCCUUAUCCGAUUCACCGUUACAUGCCGCAAUAGUCGAACUAUCAACUGGAUCGGAUCGAGUUAUCCAGGGGUGUUAGUCGGAUCGUAGUCGGACUGCACAUAGUCGGACAAAGUGUUUACAUGAAACGGAUAAUUCGAUUUUAGUCCGACUAAGCCAGUUAUUCGAAUUCAUGUAACCACAAUCACUAACUCUGGCUGAGUUCCCCUUAUAACUGCAGAUUACAGUUUAGUGUAUCGGCCUUUCAAUUAACUCCAGUGUAAACCUAUUUGUGUCAAUAUUAGAAAGUCACGGCUACUGCUCUAGAAGGUAGGUAAUGUCAAAGUAGUACAAAGAGCAGGGACUUCUCUCCACUUCAUUUCCCCCCAGAAACCAAAAGUCAACGUUGUAUACUUAACCUUUGAAGGCUUUUCACAUAACUUACCUAAAACAUACCUAUUAGCACAUCGCACAUUGAACACUGCGACCAUAGUGAGGGCUGUAUUUUUUAGAAUAGGACUACCCGGUGCACAAAGCACUGACCUCAGAGUGCUCGUAAUCUCACCCUUUGUUUGGAUUUAAUAAUACUACUAAUGCGCUGAGGAGAUUAUUAUUAAUAAUUAUUAUUAAUUACAGCAGUUUGUACUUUUCUCAACUCUGCAUAAACUUCAUAAUUCUACAAAGUUACUAGCAAUCAGAAAGUGUUCAUUUAAUUAACCCUGUGUUUAUUUUGGAUGGCUUUUUCAUUUUAAUUUGGAUUUUUAUGGAGUAAACAUUCUUCGCUUUUCAGUCCCCGCUGUUGCCUCCUGCGUUUCUUAUUUUAUCACAGUACAUUUAACACAAAUAGCCUCAAUAACAGAAUUUGUGAUCUUCUUAUAUAAUAACAUGUUAUCUAGGUUAAAUCUCAAAAUUGGCCGCCUCCAUUGACUGCCUGUUCAUUAAUGUUGAAUAAAAAACGAUGCCGUCAUAAUGACGUACUAUGCACAUACAACACAUCAUGUAUGUUGUGAUAAUUACAUAAAAUGUUCAGUCUUUCAUAAAUACUGCAGCUAUAUUGCUUGCUCAAAACGCUGGGCCACUGCUCCUCUCUGGCGAUUGGAUUAUCACAAUCUCGACUAAUCUAUCUCAAACUGUAUAAAAUAAAAAGGGAAUCCCAUAUCCAUGUCCAUUUUAAGCACUUUCAAGUCCCUGCCAAGGUUCUCAAUUUGAAUGGCGCCCGGGAUACUUACAUCCGAUUGUGUGCGUUGACAAAUGAAACCUGCCAGAGGUCCUGGCCAUUUGUCUUUUUUUCAAUUUGCUCCGCUUGUUCCCCUUGAUUUGAAAGUACAGACUGAGACCAGUAAUAGUGACCACAAAAACAUGUUGUGUUUGAAUUGUUUGCGUUACGCUUGGUGACACGAACAACUUAUGUGUGUAGGUCUCUGUUGUCCCACUAUAGUGCCUGUGGGAGAACACUCUUUGAACAAGAUUGGCAAUCUUUGAUCCGACCAGAUGGAGCAGAUAGUGAGGUCAGGGGUUUAUAUAUAUCUUAAACCCAAAGCGGACGAAGUGGGCAGAGAGAAAGAGAAUCUCAGCGAGGGACGGAUCGAUUUUAGGGUUUAAUAUGCCAAUGAUGAAAAACCAAGCCCCUCUUUUAACCACCAGGAGCAUUGUAUUUACACUUUAAUAAAGCGCCUCUACACAGCUCACAUCAGAGUACAUCAUCAGAGGGAAAAACCCCGGAGGAGGUAAAUCUGUCCAUCCAGCCGCCUCUCACUUUACCUUUGAGGUCACUCUUAUGAGUGAAAUCUCACGUCCUGACCCGGGCUCAGUUUCCCUCCUCUGCUGAAAAUUACUUGGGUGAGAUAUUGACUCCAGGCCGAAUCUAAGGUGAUGGAUUCUCUGUGAAAAAGAGGAGCAGAUUGUGAUAGAUAGGCAAGUCCGUGAGCCAUUUUUCAGCUGCCUCUCCCAGCUGGGCUGCCCAUGGUAAUGGCCUCCACUGGACACUGCAGGACGGUGCUUUUUAUAUUUAGAAAAGAAAUUGUCGAGAUGGGGCCAUAGUCAACAUUUAAGUCACCUCUAUAAAACAUCAAGUGGUAUAAAGAUAAAAAAAACUCUCAGAGAUAAGGCCGAAAUGAAAAAAAUAAAAAUAUCAUUUAAAAUACAGUAAAAUACAAUCGUACGUUCCUGUGAGUUGAGUGUGAGUCAUUGUUAGCUAGCUAAUAUUAAUGAUUAAUGACUAACUGUAUUUUGUCAAACACUGAAACGUCCUUAACAUUGUGUCGUCACUAUGAAGUGGGAGUCUCUCUUGGCCCGCCCCCCCAUCUCAUACCCUCAUGCCCUCAGAUACACUUGGAAUAACUAGCUAGCAGCAUGAGGCAAAUAAGCCGUCAAGAUGCGCUGUGGUCGGCUGCACAGAUCCGCACCAGGGUGACCAUAUCAUUACACCAAAGAGGAGGACACAAUGCAUGUAAUGUUUGGUGAGACUGUAAAGCCCUCUGAGGCAAAUUUGUAUUUUGCAAUUUUGGGCUAUAGCCUACAAAAUAAAAUGAAUUGAUUUGAAAACAGGUCACGCUGUGGAGGGCUGUUUUAAAUUUUAUUUUAAAGUAUGUUACAGAUGUUAUGUUACAUGUUCAUUAAGACCCCAAGGAACCAUAUCAACUUGUGGUAAAAUGGCCACGUUGAACAACACGGGUAGAAACAUUCUGAGAUCUCAAUAAUCAGGGCAGCAUACCUUCCGCUGCUCUUCAUUGCAUUUCAUACCCCUCUUCUGUCUCUUAGCUCCAUCAAAGAAAGGCAGAAAAGACCUUCAAAGAGUUGAAACCCUGUACUGGUUCUUGAGUCCCUGUGUUUUUGUAAAUUGAUGGUAAAUUAGUGCAACACAGAAAUGUAUUACACUCAAGCAACCAUUUCAAUAUUGGCAGACCCCAAACCAAUGACGCCACAGCAGCUAAUACAUGCUGUCUAUGCUAAAAACACAGCCGUACACCUUCUUAGUAGGAAUUUCUCUUUUAAUACCCACUGGCUUUAUUGCUUUUGUAUUGACAAUUCAUUCAAACUGGACAGGGGGCAAAUGCAACUCACUGCACGAUCUUAGUUUAUUUUAUAUAUAUAUUUUAUGUCUUAGUUAUUAGGCUUUCCUCUGUCCCAACCACCAGUAAGCCUGGUUUGGUCAAAAUACUUCCCUCACAGAGUAAGAUGCGAAGAAAUGACGGCGCUACACGUCACUUUCCGCCUGCGUUCCUGCCCCCUAGGUAGGCGUCUACGGGCGGCUUUUUGCCGGCUCUUACUCCUUUCAGAGGCAGACCCUGAAACCAGAAACAUGUAGUGAAAAAAUCACAGCGUUGGUCUUGGUUGUUUUCCAGUUUAUCUCCGGGAUCCGGAAGGAGGUCUUGCGCACACCUGCCAGUGAGGAGUAAAACGUUGCCUUGCAACUCUUUGGGUUGUCGUUGGCAACAGCGUCCAACAAAAAAAAACUUCCCACGCCUUCAUUCAUUACAGAGGAGUGAUUCCGCCUCUGUUGGCACUAGAGGGAAUCUUAUUCUGGUACCUGUUUUAACUGUCCAAGUCAUUUUAAAAAAUGUCAAAUGCAAUAAAUAUUCAGAAUGUUUGUCUAUGUGUUCAAUAUUUUCCUGAAUAUCUAAAGUGGAAUUUCUCUGAAUAGCUAUUCAUUAAAAUCUAUAUGGCAUUUGUUACAGUUAGCAACCUAUGUUGUGUCAAGUCACUAUUUAUAAGCUGUUAAAUUAAGUCCCUCAAUGGGGUUUUUUUCAGGGGUUUUUGUUGUUUUGUUUGUUGUGCUUUGUCAGCACUAUUACAGACACGUGGCCACCCUUGAUUUUCCUGCGACUUCUAAAAGAAGCUUUGCAAAGAGAAUGUUUUAACCCCCCUUCCCUCUUCGUCCUCUGCUCCACACCCCAAGAGAGGGAGAAAAAUAGGCCCUGCCUUAAGAACGGCUUAUCUACAGCGACAUGUGAGGCGAGCGGCCCGGUGGAAGUUCCAGGAGAAUGUCGUCUUUUUAAUUGCUUCUUUGAAGCCCGGUGGCUGCACACGGGGAGAAGGUAUAUUGGUAAAAGGGCACGGAGGCAUCACACUGUCCUGCAGGGGGACGGGGGUUUCUCCUGCCGCUCAAACAGCUUAUUCAUGGGUGUUCGCAAGUUGCUCCACGGCACGGCGGCGCUGAGUGGGGCUUUGUGGCUGUUUUAGAGAAUCAGAAGGAAUAGGUUUCAAAAGAGGGAGGGGCUUAUAAGCUGUUUAUAACGGUGGUUAAUUAUUUUAAGAUAUUAUUUGAAGUUCUCAUGAAUGAUGCCCACAACCCUCAUGCAAUGUGAUUGGUCACAAUAUAUAUAUACAGUUAUCUUGGCUGUGUGCUUCGGGUCGUUGUCCUGUUGGAAGAUGGACCGUCGCCCCAGUCUGAGGUCCAGAGCGCUUUGGAGCAUGUUUUCAUCGAGGAUGUCUCUGUACAUUGCUGCAUUCAUCUUUCCCUCAAUCCUGACUAGUCUCCCAGUUCCUCCCGCUGAAAAACAUCCCCACAGCAUGAUGCUGCCACCACCGUGCUUCACUGUAGGGAUGGUAUUGGCCAGGUGAUGAGCAGUGCCUGGUUUCCUCCAGACAUGACGCUUGGCAUUCAGGCCAAAGAGUUCAAUCUUUGUUUCAUCAGACCAGAGAAUUUUGUUUCUCAUGGUCUGAGAGUCCUUCAGGCAGGCUGUCAUGUGCUUUUUACUGUUGAGUGGCUUCCGUCUGGCCACUCUACCAAACAGGCCUGAUUUGUAGAGUGCUGCAGAGAUGGUUAUCCUUCUGGAAGGUUCUCCUCUCUUCAUAGAACAACACUGGAGCUCUGUUAGAGUGACCAUCGGGUUCCUGGUCACCUCCCUGACUAAGGCCCUUCUCCCCCGAUCGCUCAGUCUGUAGGUCUACAGAGAAUUCCUUGGACUUCAUGGCUUGGUUUAUGCUCUGAUAUGCACAGUCAACUGUGAUACCUUAUAUAGACAGGUGUGUGCCUUUUUCAAUCAUGUCCAGUCAACUGAAUUUAGCACAGGUGGACUCCAAUCAAGUUGUAGAAACAUCUAAAGGAUGAUCAGUGGAAACAGGAUGCACCUGAGCUAAAUUUUGAGUGCCAUGUCAAAGGCUGUGAAUACUUCUGUACAUGUUAUGUUUUCGUUCUUUAUUUUUAACAAAUUUGCAAAAAUUUGCAAAAAACAGUUUUCACUUUGUCAUUAUGGGUUGUUAUGUGUAGAAUGUUGAGGAAAAUAAUGAAUUUAAUCCAUUUUGGAAUAAGGCUGCAACAUAACAAAAUGUGGAAAAAGUGAAGCACUGUGAAUACUUUCCGGAUGCACUGUACAUAUAUAUAAGUAUAUAGUUACAAAAUGUCAGGUUCACGUUAAUGCAACAUGAAAUCAGAGCGGUUUCUCAGUCUGAGUGAGCGCACCUGGAGAGGACGAGCCUCUCUCGUGACGAUGGCUCUCUGACUUGAUGUAUCAGUGGCUGCUCUGCUUAACUCAAACAGGGCUUCAGGUGACACACACACAUAAAAUGCAAAGGAUUAACCACAACUAUUACUAUCCACAGCUGCAGCUAUGCCUAAUCUUUGUUAUUGUUACAGUGCAAGUGAAGAAUAAUACCUACUGGAGACAAGAUUUUUGUUUAUGACCUCUAAAAGUGGAAAUACUGAAUAUCUGUCACUGUGUGGGUUUGUUUCCUGUUUUAUUUUGUAGUUCCCUGCCCCUUGUGUCCCUUCUUCACUUCAUUUCCUGCCCUGUCCUGUCAUCCCCUGUGAUUGUCUGAUCGUUUCCAUCUGUGUCCAAUCACCUGCACCUCCCAGUGUAUUUAAGCUGUGUGUGUCUCGUCACUUGUCGCGUAGUUGUUGAAUGUUCUGCAUGUUCCUGGUUCCCGGCUGCAUUUUUGCCCCUGGCCCUUUUAGAUUUUGACAAUUAAAGUCUUUUUGAUUUUUGAAAGUCUGCGUGAGUCCUGCCUUCCAUGCCCAUCCCCGUGACUAUACAUAUAUCAUUAUUGAUAAUCUUUAAUAUAAAAGGCUUUUGUCAUCUUUUGUCAUCAUUCAGAAACGCCCUGUUGAACCCUAAAUGUGGAACUUCUGUGCAGCCUUCUGUGCAGCCUUCUGUGCAGCCUCAGCCACUUUUAAUGUUGAAAAGCUGCUUCAGAGUCCGUCAGAGUCUUGGGUCUAUUCAAAUCUUUUUUGGAUAACCGCUAUAGUUUUGUUGUAAAGUUCACUUGUUUGAGGUGUGGGUUCUGUGUAAAUCGCUGUCAUGCUCUCUGGCCUUUGAUCAGCUUGUUAAUGAUCCCAGAUGCACCUUUACCUUAGUAACUUAGACACACACUGCAGUCUCUGUUUGCCUCACGCAGAUGAACCAUAGUAGCUGAUUAGUGGAGUCACACAACGCAGCCACACCAAUAUCAGGAAAUCCCUCACCCCUUCUCCACCUUGGUCCCUCCCAACACUUAAUCACUCACUCACUCUCUCUGUCUGUCUCUCUGUCUCACUUCUUCUCUUUCUUCCUUCCACUCCACCUCUCUAACUCUCUCUAGUCCCCCCCCAUCGCAUAAUUUCAAAAUAAUACCCCCAUGGAGAGAGUUCUUACUGCAAUGUUUGAUGAGGACUGUCAAAUAGUAACUUCUUAGUUUGAAGGAAAAACAUUCUGUCUCCCAACCCCCUCAGACAAUUCCAUUAUUUCAAAAUAAAAGCGUCAAUGAUUAUCUGUACCUUAACAAUGGAGCUCAGAAUGAAGCUGUUUUGUUGAAAAACGUAUUGCUCUUUUGAAUACUACUGAUAUUACCAGUACUACUUGUAGUAACACUGAUACUGCUACUACCAAUACUACUACUAUUAGUAUUCAACUGCUAUCUAUACCAAAAUGACCCCUACUACUACUAAUACUAGUAGUAAAAAUACUAUUACUACCAGUAGUAGUGACACUACAACUGAUAUCACUACUGGUACUACCAUAAAAAGGUACUACUAGUAUUUAUUUACUAAUACAUGUAUGUGUUUUUUAGCAUUUUUUUUUUAUUUGUUUCAGCUUCUGCCUUGUCUGUAUUUUCAGCAAUAUUUUGAAAUUCAUUUCAGCUUUUAGCUUUCAGCAAUCCAUCACAUAUUUGCAGGAAAUGCAUUUUCGAAAUCCAUUCAUGUCUUUCCCCAUAUCUGAACAGCAAAAUACAGAAAUUGAGCGCAAUUGACCAUAAAAAUUGAUUGCGAUCAUACAAUAAUGAUAUUUCUAUCACAGAUCAGUGGACAGAUACUUAUUUGUAAUCAUUUGUUUUUUACAUUUCAUGGUCACACACGGCGGCAUGCCAUGCAAGGCUCAAACCACGGAGGAGUGAAAAUGGUGGAGGAGACGGAGGGGGGGGGGGGGGUUAGCUGGCUCAUUGGCAUUAAAAUCUCAAGUGGGUCGUUUUGAGCAGAGCGGUUUUAGGCAGGCUGAAAGGGGAGCCGUUAAUAAUAAUCCAUGUGGUAUUUGGACCAAAGUAUGUUUUAGACAUUUUAUUUCGACCACAAAGAACCAUAUCGACUUGUGGUAAAAGGGCAUAAUAUGGCUCCUUUGAUGCCUGACCCAAUCAGCAAAAAGAAGACCAAAUGGAAGGUGAAUUCUUCCGCUGUAAUCAUUAUAGUUUUCAUAUCACAGCUUUGUGACAGGAACCGUUGAACAGACUCAAACUGCUUAAGACGUUCCAUCUGGCGUGUGGUACUAAAAAAAAUCUGUGUCAGCAGGGAAAAAUAUUGUGUUACUUUUAUUUAUGCGACAAUGUUCAAUUGUAUCAAUCUACACUUCUUGAUCUUUUCAGUAGGGAAGAAAAUGACGCAUCUGAGAAUUUGUUGUGUUGUGUAAGAAGACAAUGUGUUUUUUAAAAGCUGCAGGCCCAACAUCUCCUGCCGUGUAGAAUAAACUCUCCCAGCAGACGGCGGAAUGCACAAGUAUUCUCUACGACGGUCCGGAGAGGAGUAAUGUGUCCUCAGGGACACGCCACCAGUCCAAAGCAUCCUCAGUGAGAGGUAGAGCAACACGCCGCCAUUCUGUAACGUUCUAAAAGCCUCUCGGAGUUUUGUAGUCGUGGUGUAUUUUCCUCCCUGAGAGUUCUUCGUUCCAGGCACCACUUGAUCUCAAUCUGCUGCUCACGGCCCUCGUGACGCAAUAUUCAAAUACAACUCCAGGGCUCGGGGAUGGUUUACUAUCAUUGUGAAACAUUAUACAUUUUCAACACAAGAAUAACACGACCAAUAUGCAAGAGCACAAAGACAGCGUUACAUUUUCCUUAUAUUUUGUUAUCAUGGGGACAGGAAGUAGAUUGGUACCACAUUCCCUUUCAGGUUCCGCCUCCACGGCAGAAAAUGGCCGCUGAUGCAAGCACUACAGCACCCAGAAGCCCUCUUUAGUUUGCAUAAGAAGGAACGUAAACAUCAGUAAUAUAAGCUGUUUCCUGGGCAGAUAGUAUGUCCGACAUCUUCACAAAAUUCAACAUGAAGAAAACAUUCAUUCCUAGCAGUCCUGUUUGCUUCUGUUUCCCACGUUGUUCAGCGUAUUCUUAAGGUCCACAAGCCGCAAACACAAAAACGACAAACAAAUGAAGAUGAAGAAAUGCAGAGAAAAUGAAUUGCCAGUAGCACCGUUGCCAUAAAUGCUCAGUUUACAUUAGCCUAUGUAUCAAAUUGGCCUUAAAAGAAAAAUCUUUGAACCUUUGUUCAUGUGUAGGAAUCAAAACCGCCGAAAGCUUCAAAGUAUCACUCCUUCGAUCUACACCUUUGUUCACACAAGAGCCCUAAAGGGGAUUUGUGAUUUCUUUUUUAUUUUCUGGGGGCUGCUGUGUGAGAGUGGGGACAGUAGAGAGGAAGAAAACCCCUUGAAUUAAUGGGCGGAAGCAAAAUGCUUGGUGCGCCCGGAGUGAUGUCUGCUCCUGAGCCCCGGAGUCUUCCUCGCUCCCCUCCAAGUCGAAAUGAGAGGCGAGACACUGACGGAGGGCGCACGCCGUUUGGUGUUUGGGUGCAAUCACAAGCGAUGGAGUCUGCCUGUGCAAACGUGUCAUUGUCCUCCGCGUGGGUUUGUGUGUGGUCAACUGAUUCACAGCUGCCAGCUGUUAAAUACAAAAGAAAAGAAAGAGAAAAAAAGACAGAUAAUUGGACGGGGUGUCAGGAUCCCUCCUCAGGUUCGGCUUCCGCUUUUGUCCUUUGUGAUUUAUUUCUGUUCUUCCCCCAGUGUCCGUCCUAUUGCAUCCAGAGGUUUUCCUGCUGAAGGCGAGUGCCGUGCGGUCACAAAGGGCCGCGCAGCGUUCAAGGUGUUGUUGUUUGUCUCACAGGAACGAUGUUGCCAGGAAACAACCAGUGUACACAUGAAUGCAGUUUAGACCCCAGGGCUCAAUUUAUUGCCUGGAAAGUGUUGUUUGUGUACCUCACCCAAAGAAACAAAGUGGAUUACGACACACACACACACACACACACACACACACACACUUUCACCCCGCCAAAGGGAGGCGGCAUAAAUGCCCAGAGGGGUUUUCAGUGGAUUUCUAGGUUGCUAUUGAAGGGAAUGCGUUGGAAUGGCUUGAAAGAGAUGGAUCGAAAAGGCCUGAUUGACUCGGUGAUUCUGAAACUACGCAGAUUCACGUUAGCGUUCCAGAUGAUAGAUGAUAGAUAGAUACUAUAUUGAUCCCUCAAGAGGGAAAUUUUGGUAUCACAGCAGCAUGUACAGGGAAGAAAAUAGAAUAAAAAGAUACACAUUAUAUACAAUAUAAUAAGAUAGAAAUAUUAAAUUAUUAAAUUAAAUAAACUAAAACUGAAACAAAAGAAUAACCUUCCACACAUUCCACACAAGCAAUGCAUGAAUAAUCUGAUUUGUCACCCAGCUAAUCGUAGGGGUUAGCUGUACGUGGCUCCACCCCCCACCCCCCCUGACCCCACCAGUCCCACCUUUUUUUUUUACCUCCGCAGUGGACUGCUUCCUGCACUUCCAACUAAAUGUCUGGACCAAGAUUGUGGAAGAAAUAUUACCAGGCUCCAGGCCAUCCAUCAUCGGGACUGCCCAGGCUAUGAAAUACAGGCCGGGGUCCUACCAACAAUGAGUCCUAUCUUGUAUGUUAGACCUCAUGCUUGUGUAUUUAUCACCUAAGCGGCGGCACAACGCGUGAUUCAUUGAACCGUCCCGUUGAUGCAACAUGCUGACUACAUCUCUGGGCAGUCGGCCUGUAUUCCCAUCCAUCACAACGCUGUACACGCCCUCUUUUCCUCAGUGCCCCCACAGAGGGUGUUGCCCCCCACUAUUGUUAUGCUUAUGAAAGUGUGUUUGUAUCCCUGAUGUCUUCUGGGGGGCGGCUGCCCGAAGGAUGUGUCAGCAUGAGCGGGACAAAAGUUGCAGAUGCCGCAGAGGCUUUUCAAAAAUAAGAGGUUGAAAGUAGUCUGUGGAGAGCGAAAGGGGUCUCAGAGGCGAGCGGGGGGCUUUAGGUGAUCCUUGAUACAUUAAACAUUUUCAUAAUCACGGUGAUAGUGAGGGGAAGGAAAAUAUGUAUUUCAACCACUACAGAUGGAUGUGGCAUAUUACAUAUUUACAGCCCACUUUCAUUUCUCUCCUGUCAUGUUUUGAUUGUUUUCCCAACUCUUUGGGAAGGGAAUCCUCUGCAAUCUUCCAGAAAUAUAGCUGACGGCAAUAUUAGAAGGACCAACAUUUUGGUUUGUGUCAAACUGUAGAUUUUUGAGUAUUGUAUUGUCAUUAAUUGUGCCUCGAGUGAUUUGGAAAAGAUUGAUAACAAGCGGCGUCCGCUGGGUGAAAGUCCUUGUUUGUUUGACUCAUCCAACAGGUGUAUAUUGUCUUCUUAUUCAGGGUCACUUAUUGCGGAUACGUUUACCUUGCAGCUAGUUGAAAGCCGAGCACAAGCUGUUCACUUUUAUUAGUGUGGGAAGAAAAAGGCUAAUAGUAAAAUAACUAACGUAACAGAUAGUUAUUUUGCUUUUACUGUUCCAUUUGCACAGUUUUAAUAUCUUUUGUUCAUUUUUCACUCUUCAUUUAUUUCUAAAAUGUUCAUUCAUUUGUGUGGUGAAUGUGGUGAGCACAACGUUAUCACAGCGAAUCAUAAAACCCCAGCUCAUAUAAACUGUGAAUAGAUCUAUACUUCAACAAGACAAAUUGAACAUGCCCCAGAGGUAACACCGAGGGCAGGAGGGUGUUAACGUGGCGCCUCGCUGCUGUGAGCGAACUGUAAUGGUCGAAGGAGACCCUCGAGUGUGUCAACCACUUUGUUAACUCGGACCUUCUCUCAUCGGCGUAACAGCAUCCAUACAGUCAGAGAUUCUUUAAAUGUUCACACAGAUUCCAUUAAAUGCCUCAAAUUGAAAGUGUUGUGCUAGCCGAGCUGUAUCCCCGCUGGAAAUGACUCCCUGGUAGACUCUAUAUACUGAGUGAGGCCCCCUCCCCUCGCCCCCUUUUUCAAUUACUGUUGAUCAGAACAAUUGUGAAAUGCUGUAUAGGCAUAUUGUCUCUAAAGGGAUGAGCCGGCUCUUCUCUCGAUGCCAUCGGGACCGAUGCCGCCGGCCUCCGCCGACUGGAUGCUUUAUCUGGACUCGCCUUGGCUACUUGCCUCCUGAGUUCAUUAUGCACACAAUCUGUGACAAAGUACAUUAGUUCUACGCACAGUACAGCUGCCAACCCCAGUAAUCUAAUAGCAAUGUAUAAAUUCCUUCUGGCAGGCCAAUAAAACUCAGAUUAGCUUCCCGGCAAAGGUACACUCGUGCAGCCGUUGACAGACAUGUGAGGGGAGCAUUAGCAUAUCAUCAGCACACGCUCUCCGGGGACGGAGACGCUCGGUGCUUCCCCAUCACCUCCGCUGUCUCCGGUACUAGCAGAACAAGGAAAAGCACUGAUUUGGUUAACAACUGCUUGAUUUAAUACAUGCUCCGUAGGACCAGGGGUCUUAUGGAUUUGUCAGCAGUGCAGGUAGGCUGGAGGAGGAGGAGAAAGAGGGGGGAGGGAAAAGCUGGAGGUGACGAUUGGAUGAUGGGAGUGGGAAAUCAGUUUUAUGCUGCUUUUGUUGUUUUAACCGGGAAAAAAAGUCAACUUUUUUUUUUUUUUCCAGGAGACAGUGAUAAAGACAAUGAAUGCAAAACUGGAAUUGUAUUAAGUGAAAAGAGGACAAAAAUUGCAUUUUGCUCCUUUUGCAUUAUUCAUGAGGAAGCAUAUUAUUUCUGUGUGCAGAAAUGAAUAUACAUUUUUAUCUUUUGUGAGGCUCCAGUUGCCUGUCAGAUGUUUCACGCAAUCUUGGGAUUGAUCACCUCAACGCAGUUAUGCUUUCAUUUCCAGCUGUGUUAUGAUAGGAUGUGUAAUAAAAUAAAACGGGGGCCCUUAUUUGCCAUAUGAGGACGGGACAUACAGUAAGUAUGAAGAUCAUAAUCUGCACCGUAUAGUUUCCUCAGCAGGAGGGUCACCUUCUCAGAGGAGGCCGUGGGAGGCAGAGUUAUGUUCUCCUAUCAAUAAACUAGUUCUUUUAUAAGUCCCACGUACCUCCUUCCUCACGGUAUUUCCCCUAAUAUUAAACAGCCAGCCGCAAGGCCUGUUCUAUAUUCAUGACAUAAACGCUGUUCAUGCCCAAUGUUGGUGAAUAGACCUCAUGUUCCGGUGAACAACGGCUGCCUUCGCACCACUGGAGAUGCACAAGUACAGUUUAUUGAUCUCCACGCAAUAAAGGAGCACAAACCCACCUCUGAAAAUGUCAUUUUCUUUUACUACAGAAACAUGCCUGCUGGAAUUGCAUUAGCUUAGAGCAUUCAUAACAUUUCUUUUCUUAAACAAAGUUAGAAAUUAAAUCCUCGUCCUGGGACUGUUGCUGUAAGUCUUGCACACAAGGAUCUACAGAAUCUAACAGAGAACUUAGUGCUCGGGGAAGGUUUCCAUUUUUUCCCCUUCAUGUUAGGGUCUCUAUCAAUUAAAAUUUCAUAACGUUGGCUUAAUUAAUUGCUGCUGUUUUGUUUUUGCAAACAGAACAACCCACAUGUUCCUUUACCUUUUGCUUUUAGAGAGUGGACAUCAUAAAGCAGGAGCAUGAGAUUAUUACCAUUUAUUUAUUUUUUCCCCCGCUGGGAAUAAGAAUUUCCAUCAAUAUGCUCCUGCAGUUGCCCACAUUCUCUGCACGUCGUCCUUGUGUUAGGGAUACGGCCUUCAAUCAAAUGCCUUUUGUACUUGCGCACUCAUGCUGAGAGUUGCAUUUGGAUUCAUACAUAUGCAAUGCUAAGGCAAAGGGAAGCUUGUGGUGCGGCGUUUGUGCAAUAUAAUGUCUUUCUAUGCAAGUUUACCAAUGGAGGAAAGCAGACGAAUGGACUUCGUGAUUACCUUUGACUGUUGGUAUGUAAUCAUUUUGGAAUGGACGCUGAAGAUUGAGCCUUAGACGAAAACCACCACAAUACGAGUUUCGUGAAUUUUGACUUUAAAGCAGGGACGUGUAUAAUCACAAACUCAAAAGGUCAGCACUCCUACUUUGUAGACCACCAUGAUCAUCGUUUUGUAAUAUUGGUCUUUGCAUAUUUCUCUGGCACCCACACAAGUCACCAUUUCAUUCAAGAAGAUGUGACAGAACUCUUCACAGGGAUACUUUUCCCCUACUACAAUUGGAUUGAGCCCAGUUUUAGCAAAUAUGGUCUCUGAUCCUCCAUCUUUGCACAGAACUCCAACUGCUGAGUCAGAAAAAACGUCCCACAUAGUGCUGAAAGUCGAUUGGUGACAACAUGUCCAGUCUAAUAGUUUACGACCCCACUUCAAACGCUGCACGUGGCUCCUGGAGGACAUUCUUUGGUAGGACAGAGGGUUGUGUGGUCAGAACCAGUAUCGUUGAAUUGCUUCCCGACCUCUCAGCUCCUGAAGAGCGCAUUAACCCAGUAAAAUUCAACACUUAAGAUAUCAUCAACAUGUUUUACAUUGUCCAUUCUGCGGCCUACUUUCAUUCAUUAAUGAUUCCUCGCUGACUCCCUUUCGGUUAAUGGGAUUGAUUGGGGCUGAAUUAUUAACGGGCUCCGGCCGACUGGCCCCAGUCUCACAUGCUCUAACUUGUGGAUUAGGUCUCCAACUACAUAGUACCAGUAGCAUUGUACAAAAGGGAGACGCCAGAGAAAAUAUCGCAAAUCAAACUGUAGAAAGUUUUUAGUACUCAAAGUGUGUCACAGAUUCCAGGCUUGGAACAUACAGUUCCGAUAUGUUUAUUAGUGUUGGUGUUUAUAUAAUGAAGUUCACAAGUGGAAGUGAUGUCACGCAUGCAUCAUACACAUUUGGCUGAAUGUUAAAGUGGACUUUUGUGGAAACAAGCAGACAAAAUUGACUUUCCGGCUUUGCAGUCUCUAUUACACACACAUUUUGGAGAAGAGCACUAAGGGGUGGACUCUCAAAAGGAUCGCACGGCUUUAGGCCCUCUCAACCUGCACAAAUGAGUCGAAAAAAGUCUUGAAAUGCAUGAUGGUGAAAUGCAUCGCUACCAAGCAAAUAGUGUCUCGGUGUACCUGUGAAAUAUACGGUAUAUGCAGAAGUUCAGCUUCCAGUCCAAUUUACAACGAUCAGUGUUGAUAGCCACACAAAGUUACAGUGCAAUGAUUAGCCUCAAUAAAUAUUAUCUCCCACGCAUGUCAUUUUUUUAUACAUAAGGAAAUACAUGACUUGAGCCGAGAAUUUUAAAAUAACAGGCCCAUUCCACAUCAACUCGGGUCCAUUUAUACUUUACAACCGGGAUGACAACACAGUGACAUGCAAAAAUAUGGGUGUGUUUGUGCUGUAAUAUCCUCGCCGCAAUACCUUUGUCACAGUUUGAGUUCACGUCUUGUUUUAUUUUGUAGUUUCAUGCCUCUGGUGCUCCUGGGUCACGUCACUUCCUGCCUGGUCCUGUCAUCCCCUGUGAUUGUCUGCCGUGUCCAUGAUUGUUUCCACCUGUGUCCAAUCACCUGCACCUCCCAGUGUAUUUAAGCCACGUGUGUCUCUUGUCCCUGGUCACGUCAUUGAUUGCUCAACCCUGAAUGUUGUAUGUCAUCCCUUGAUGUCAUACCCUCAGUGUCUUGCCUGUUCCUGGUUCCUGUGUGCGUUUUGCUUUUUUUGAAUUUGGGCUAUGAAAGUGCUUUUCUGUUUGAACUCUGCGUUUGAGUCCUGCCUCCACCUACUGUUCCUGACAACCUUGAUAAGGGGAAGAUAGUAUUUGCACAUGAUGCACAAUUCACAGGGCUGUCAGGGGCCGCUACCUAUUUUUUCUUAAUUUGCCCCUCAGUGUAAAGACAAGAAAAAUCCAAUGGCUAUCUCCAAUCAAAUGCCUACAAAUUGACCUGGACUCUGGGAUAUUUCACUGUGCAACUACUCCCCUACGCCCCUCGGCCCCUGAGCAGGUUAGACACGCGCUGAGAUGGAUGACCAAAAAAACGGACGCAAUUCUGUAUUUUUCUCUGUGAAUUUGCAACUGAAUGCUACCAGUUCCACUUAAGCAUCAACACUCCAGCAGCAUCUGCCCGAGAACCCGAGGCAAUGAGCUCUCUUCCUGAGGGACGUUACUAUUGAGCACGAAUCAUUUAAUGCCAUUAGUGUCCUUCUACCCCGGUGCCUCACGCGGAAAUAUCAUUCCUAUACCGGUCUCCCACGCCAUGAGAGAUUAUCAAGGGCGAUGAUGCAGCGGAACGAGGGAAGAUUUGUCAAGUUAUUAAAAUGAGCUCCGGGAGAGUCACUUUCAGGCAUCAUCGAAGUAAGUGGGAGUUAGUGGUGGCCACAGCGCUUGUGCACAGAAGCCACUGCUGAGAAGGUAGCUGCUUGUACUCAAGUAAUCGCUGUUCGACUACUUUGUGGAGAAUAAAGAAUGGAUGGGAGAAUUUACCUGACAAGCUCUUAAAGUGCAGACUUUGCCAAGGGCCGUAUGCCGACAAUAACCGUUUGCGUGUUAAUCACGCAUCGCUUCAGUCCACAUCUGCAACCAUUGGUUGAAAAAAAGAUCAUUGUCAUUGUAAAGAUUAUUAUCCCAAACUAACAAGGAUAAAAUACAAGUUUGGCAUAAAAGCACCUGUCUUUUUACUGAGCACAUCUCAGACCAUGGUCUGCUGAUUUCAAUCGAUUUUAAGGAAUGAAAAUGAAGGCUGCAGCUAACAUGUGUUUCCUUUAUUUUUCUAACUAAGUUGAAGUAAUUGUUCUCAAAACUAAGCUAUUGUCACACUCCCUGUAGGUAUUUUUCUGUACUCAGCCUAAGGUGUUGUUGUGAGGAAAAAUAAGAACCAUCACAAAAGUCUUGUUGAUUAAUUGUCAGCAAAUUUUAGCAAACUUUUCAAAUAUGGAAAAUGACUACAUGAUUUACAGCCAAUAAACUAGGCUGGAUAUUUUGCUCAAAACGCUAUCGGCAGUAGAGAUUGCAAACUUGAAAAUUUGUUUGAGUUUUUAUUGUUCCUUCACAUCAAGUGAUUUUCAAUCUAAAAGUCAAUUUU